rnacentral:misc_RNA from 1 species
GGAUGCAUGUGCUUGCCCUCUCAAUCAUCUUCCAAACAACUGUGCCCAUUUAUAAGUGAGUCUUGAGUUGAUUGCCGCUCUUGUGAGAUUGUCUCCCCUUCCCUUAAAAAUUAGCCACUAUUAACAUCAGUCGAACGUGCUCUGGGCCGCCAGGCCAAUAAAAUAAUACAACUUUUAACAACGGAUCUCUUGGCUCUCGCAUCGAUGACCAACGCAGCUUGAUGAAUUAAGCAAUGCUAAUUGCAGAAUGCUCCGCAUCAUCCAAUCUUUGAACGCGCCUUGCCCUCCCUGCGAUUACUCACUGCACUCCUGUUCGAGAGUACUUAAAUUACUCAAGCUUGGAUGGAUUCUUUGUCCGUCCCUUAACCUUGGUUGUUGGGAUUUGCAUUGUCCUUCAUUGCUUUCGUUGGACACAAAAUUAUCAAUUGAUCCUCGCGUGUAAUGGGUUCUACUCAUGUGAGAAAAACAUCUGAUCGCUGACGACAUCUUUUGACAUGCUCAAAUCUCAUUUCAGGUGCUUCUAAAAUUGGUGUCACAGAUUGUACAAUCUUCCUUCCAUAUUUCACCUUUGACCUCGACUCACACUGCUACUUACUGAUGCAUU